UACGUAGGGGGGCUAGCGUUGUCCGGAAUCAUUGGGCGUAAAGCGCGCGUAGGCGGCCAGAUAAGUCCGGUGUGAAAGCCACAGGCUCAACCUGUGAAUGCCGCUGGAAACUGUCUGGCUAGAGUCCGGGAGGGGCGAGUGGAAUUCCUCGGUGUAGCGGUGAAAUGCGCAGAUAUCAGGAGGAACACCAAUGGCGAAGGCAGCUCGCUGGAACGGAACUGACGCUGAGGCGCGAAAGCGUGGGGAGCGAACAGG
rnacentral:rRNA from 1 species